rnacentral:rRNA from 1 species
UACGGAGGGGACUAGCGUUGUUCGGAAUUACUGGGCGUAAAGCGCACGUAGGCGGCUUUGUAAGUCAGGGGUGAAAUCCCGGGGCUCAACCCCGGAACUGCCUUUGAUACUGCGAAUCUCGAGUCCGGAAGAGGUGAGUGGAAUUCCUAGUGUAGAGGUGAAAUUCGUAGAUAUUAGGAAGAACACCAGUGGCGAAGGCGGCUCACUGGUCCGGUACUGACGCUGAGGUGCGAAAGCGUGGGGAGCAAACAGG